ACAGGUGGGUAGGAUGAGAAUUCUAAGGCGCUUGAGAGAACUCAGGAGAAGGAACUCGGCAAAAUAGCACCGUAACUUCGGGAAAAGGUGUGCCCUUGGUAUGUCUAGCGCCUUGCGCGUGAAGCAGAACAGGGUUGCAAUGAAUUGGUGGCUGCGACUGUUUAAUAAAAACAUAGCACUCUGCAAACACGUAAGUGGACGUAUAGAGUGUGACGCCUGCCCGGUGCCGGAAGGUUAAAUGAUGGGGUGCAAGCUCUUGAUUGAAGCCCCGGUAAACGGCGGCCGUAACGAUGACGGUCCUAAGGUAGCGAAAUUCCUUGUCGGGUAAGUUCCGACCUGCACGAAUGGCGUAACGAUGGCCACACUGUCUCCUCCUGGGACUCAGCGAAGUUGAAAUGUUUGUGAAGAUGCAAUCUACCCGCGGCUAGACGGAAAGACCCCGUGCACCUUUACUGUAGCUUUACAUUGGACUUUGAUAACAUUUGUGUAGGAUAGGUGGGAGGCUUUGAAGUGAAUUCGCUAGAAUUCAUGGAGCCAUCGUUGAAAUACCACCCUGGUGUUGUUGAGGUUCUAACCUAAAUCCAUUAUCUGGAUUGGGGACCGUGUAUGGUAGGCAGUUUGACUGGGGCGGUCUCCUCCCAAAUCGUAACGGAGGAGUACGAAGGUACGCUAGGUACGGUCGGAAAUCGUGCUGAUAGUGCAAUGGCAAAAGCGUGCUUAACUGCGAGACUGACAAGUCGAGCAGGUGCGAAAGCAGGUCAUAGUGAUCCGGUGGUUCUGUAUGGAAGGGCCAUCGCUCAACGGAUAAAAGGUACGCCGGGGAUAACAGGCUGAUUCCUCCCAAGAGUUCAUAUCGACGGGGGAGUUUGGCACCUCGAUGUCGGCUCAUCACAUCCUGGGGCUGUAGCCGGUCCCAAGGGUAUGGCUGUUCGCCAUUUAAAGUGGUACGUGAGCUGGGUUUAAAACGUCGUGAGACAGUUUGGUCCCUAUCUGCCGUGGGCGUUGGAAGUUUGAGAGGACCUGCUCCUAGUACGAGAGGACCGGAGUGGACGCACCUCUGGUGUACCGGUUAUGACGCCAGUCGUAUCGCCGGGUAGCUAUGUGCGGACGAGAUAACCGCUGAAAGCAUCUAAGCGGGAAACUCUCCUCAAGGUAAGACUUCCCGAGGGUAUAACCCUCCUAAAGGUUCGUCGAAGACUACGACGUUGAUAGGUCGGGUGUGGAAGCAUAGUAAUAUGUUAAGCUAACCGAUACUAAUUGACCGUGAGGCUUGAUCG
rnacentral:rRNA from 1 species